rnacentral:rRNA from 1 species
UACGGAGGGGGCUAGCGUUGUUCGGAAUUACUGGGCGUAAAGCGCACGUAGGCGGCUUUGUAAGUCAGAGGUGAAAGCCCGGGGCUCAACUCCGGAACUGCCUUUGAGACUGCAUCGCUUGAACACGGGAGAGGUGAGUGGAAUUCCGAGUGUAGAGGUGAAAUUCGUAGAUAUUCGGAAGAACACCAGUGGCGAAGGCGGCUCACUGGACCGUUGUUGACGCUGAGGUGCGAAAGCGUGGGGAGCAAACAGG